rnacentral:rRNA from 1 species
CAGUAGCCGCGGGAAUACGUAGGGUGCGAGCGUUAAUCGGAAUUACUGGGCGUAAAGCGUGCGUAGGUGGUGGUUUAAGUCCGCUGUGAAAUCCCCGGGCUCAACCUGGGAAUGGCAAUGGAUACUGGCAAGCUAGAGUGUGUCAGAGGAUGGUGGAAUUCCCGGUGUAGCGGUGAAAUGCGUAGAGAUCGGGAGGAACAUCAGUGGCGAAGGCGGCCAUCUGGGACAACACUGACGCUGAGGCACGAAAGCGUGGGGAGCAAACAGGAUUAGAUACCCGAGUAGUCCCUGUCUCUUUACC